rnacentral:rRNA from 1 species
UGUCUACGUCAUAGCUACCUGUUGAAUGUGGCCCGAAUCUUCAUCUCGAUCUUCAGAAGCUAAGCAGGGUCGAGUUCUUGUUAGUACUUGGGAUGGGGAGACCACCUGCGGGAAUACCGGAUGCUACAG